CAGAGUUGCAAAACUCCCAACCAUUGUGAACCUACCUCACCGUUGCUUCGGCGGGUGGCCCGGGGCAACCCAGGCCGCGCCGGCCCCCUUCUUCGGGGGGCCCGGCAAGCCCGUCAGAGGACCGAAACCCUGUAAUUACUGGCCUCUCUGAGUAACUUAUACAAUAAGUCA
rnacentral:misc_RNA from 1 species